AACGAACGCUGGCGGCAGGCUUAACACAUGCAAGUCGAGCGAACCGCUAGGUGAGCGGCAGCUGGGUGAGUAACGCGUGGGAAUCUACUCAACCCUACGGAAUAACCCAGGGAAACUUGGACUAAUACCGUAUACGCCCGUUUGGGGAAAGAUUUAUCUGGGAUGGAUGAGCCCGCGAGUGAUUAGCGAGUUGGUAGGGUAAAGGCCUACGAGAGCGACGAUCUAUAGCUGGUCUGAGAGGAUCGUCAUCCACAUUGGGACUGAGACACGGCCCAAAAUCCUACGGGAGGCAGCAGUGGGGAAUAUUGGACAGUGGGCGCAAGCCUGAAGCAGCCAUGCCGCGUGAGUGAUGAAGGCAGUAGGGUUGUAAAGCUCUUUCAAUAGGGAAGAUAAUGACGGUACCUACAGAAGAAGCCCCGGCUAACUUCGUG
rnacentral:rRNA from 1 species